GAAAAGAUUUGUUGGUCCCAGGAAAGUUCACCAACCUAUGGGAUGAUCGUGGUUCCGGCGCAAAACUGGAUGGAUCUGCUUGGCACGUUGAUGGUGCUGGUCUUGCAGGAUUGUUUAAAGUUCAGAGUGGCUACCAGGAACCAGCUAUGCCAGCUUUUGUACUCCCUGCCAAGCUAGUUCAAGCGAAAUGAGGCUUUUGUGACAUUCAUUCUAAA